rnacentral:snRNA from 1 species
GUGCUCACUUUGGCAGCACAUAUACUAAAAUUGGAAUGAUACAGAGAUUAGCAUGGCCCCUGCACAAGGAUGACACACAAAUUCGUGAAACGUUCUAUUAAAAA